GGUAGGUGUGUGACAAUUGUAGGCUGCCAGUGCUGGAGGAGGAAGAAAUCUGGAGAGGUGGAGGAACUCAGGAGGCGGCAGGUGGAGGUGGUUGGGUUAAAGGGGCAUUUGCAGUGCUACAGAGGAGCAGGAAGGGGCAUCAGAAGGAAUGAAGGGCAAUAUGUGUCAGAGGCAGGUAGGUUCUGGAGAGGGUUGUGUCUUUGAUAAAUGGCUGAAGGAGGUUUAAAGGAAGAGCUGUAGAAGAGGAGGGGUGUGUGUGUGUGUUUGUUUGUUUGUGUGUGUGUGUGUGUGUGUGUGUGUGAGAGAGAGAGAGAGAGAGAGAGAGAGAGAGUGUCCCCCCUGCAGUGAGAUUUCAUAUUUAGGCUAACUGUGGCACCACCUCUGUGACCCUCUCUCCUCCAUAUGCUUCCCUGCUUCUAUUUUGUAGUCACAGAGAGUGGAAAACUGAAUGAGUCACUUCCAUGCAUGGAAGGGAAGGAGGAUCACAUUUGACGUAAUGCCAAAACCUUGCAUAUUCAUACAGAUCCCUAUAGGCACAUGCUCAAUAAUUCGUCACUCCUAUAAUCUCUAAAACCAGGGGAGAUGCAGUGAGGGAAUAUUGCACAUACUGAUGGAUUCAUAUAGGGCUGUUUUUAAAUUGGCUUUUACUGUUGCAAUUUCUUUGAGUCUGACCUGCGCAGGAAAACCGUGUCCUAUGUUUUUCAAAGACACAGAGAUUUGUGCCUUAGUUUAUCGGUUGAGUGCAAUCACUCCCCUAAUUCUCUAUGAACACAUUCAAGGAGCACAACUGUUUCACAUCACAUAUCAUUGCUGGAAGCCUACCAUUUAGACCUCUAUAAACCAAACACGAUGAAUAUAAUGGGCAUUCCCGCAGAGCCAAGGUAAAGUAGUUUAUAUAUGUGUGUGUGUGUGACUGUUGAGAAACGCUCCAAAGAGAUCAUUGAAAUGGGCAGAUGAAUGCCUGGCAUCCUCAUUCAAUACACCUUUUCCCUGCUUCCAGAAGGCCGCUACCAUUUUUUUCACCUAAAGAGCCUCCGAUAAUGGGAAAAACCAUAUCUAUCAAUAGAGAAGCGCGUCUUUGAGCAUGCAACACAACUACCAAAGAUACAACUGAACUCCUCUGCAAAGUAAAGAGGUCAUGUAAGUUAAUUAUGUCAUUUCCUUUCCCAUUUAAUAAGAAAUAAAGUUGCCAUGGAGACUGACUAGAUAUAGAAUCCCACUUUCAUGACUAAAACAACUAUGAGGAGAGAAGUAGGUGGAAGCACAAUGCUUGUUUUGCACAAUGCGACAAAAAGAGAGAGCAACCUCUAGGACCUUUUUCAGAAGGCACAAAGGACAAGGAAGACAUUGGGGUGGGGAGACUUUUCGGCACAUGCAAGAAGUCUAUUAUCUCUGGCUAUACUCAGUCUUACUGUUUCCAGUAUGGAAUGAUAAAUAGUGACAUACUAUCCAAGGCACAUGUUUUAAGAUGUGGGCAGAUAUCAGGGUUUCAGCUAUUUCUCCAUCAAAAAACCCCCUCAUCCAGCUAACCAGUUUAUGUAUUCCCACCUCAGAAAUAUCUCUUGGCUAGUGUUAUGCUGAGAUCUGUCCUCCAAUUUCACAAUGCUUCCAUUUUUUUUUUAUUCCUAAUUCUCAUGGCACAUAGAAUUGUAGAGUUGGAAGGGAACCCGAGGAUCAUCUAGUCCAACCCCCUGCAAUGCAGGAAUCUCAACUACAUCAUACAUGACAGAUGGCCACGCAGUCACUGUUUAAAAACCUCCAAGAGUCCACAUGACGAAUGGCAAUAUCUUCAGUUACAACAUUUGUUGGUGUUUAUUUAUGGACCAUCUGCUUUGAGUGCUUCAGCAUCUCCUAUAUUGUCGGAGGAAAUUAUUGUAUCCUUACAGAAAGUCAAACCCAUAACUGUUGUUUAUAAAUGCUUAAUGGACCUUUGAGGAACUUAGAGAGUUGUUGAAUAGGGAAUUAGAAGUAUUACACAGCUUAAACAAAAUUUGCCUUAGAAUCUUUAUCUUUAGGAUUGAAAUUGGGACUGAUCCAGCAGAAAUUAAUAUCAUGGGUAUAGUGGACUCCACAAGAUCUGUAUAGAAAGGCACUGUCCAUUGCAGAUAGAUUCUGGACAUUAGGGCUGCCAUAAGUGGGUGGCGCUGUGGUCUAAACCACUGAGCCUCUUGGGCCUGCCGAUCAGAAGGUCAGCGGUUCAAAUCCCCACUAUGGGUUGAGCUCCCAUUGCUCUGCCCCAGUUCCUGCCAAUCUAGCAGUUCAAAAGCAUAUCAGUGCAAGAAGAUAAAUAGCGGGAAGGUAAAUGUCAUUUAAGGGACGCGGGUGGUGCUGUGGGGUAAACCACAGAGCCUAGGGCUUGCCGAUCAAAAGGUUGGUGGUUCGAAUCCCCGUGACGGUUUGAGCUUCCAUUGCUCGGUCCCUGCUCCUGCCAACCUAGCAGUUCAAAAGCAUGCAGUACAAGUAGAUAAAUAGGUACUGCUCCGGCGGGAAGGUAAACAGCGUUUCUGUGCACUGCUCUGGUUCGCCAGAAGCGGCUUAGUCAUGCUGGCCACAUGACUGUACGUCGGCUCCCUCGGCCAGUAAAGCGAGAUGAGCACCGCAACCCCGGGUCAUCCGCGACUGGAUCUAAUGGUCAGGGGUCCCUUUACCUUUUAAAUGUUGUUUCCGUGUGCUCUGGCUCUUGUCAUGGUCCUCCGUGAACCAGAAGCAGUUUAGACAUGCUGGCCACAUGACGCAGAAAGCCGUCUGUGGACAAACGCUUGGUCUGAAAGCAAGAUGAGCACCACAACCCCAUAGUUGCCUUUGACUGGACUUAACCAUCAAGGGAUCCUUUACCUUUUUACCUUUUACCUUAUGUGCGGUCAAUUGAAAAACUUUUGGGGUGUCCUGGUUUUUACGUGGCAGGUGUAAUGAUGAAUAUGCCUAAUGGAGCUACAGGAUGAGGGCUAGUCCAGUGAUAUACUGCAUUCUUUUUGGUCUGAAGUGGCUGUCCUUAAGAAAUUUGCAUUGGUGAAAUCCUCUCCUCAAUAUUUGCAGACGCUCAUGAACUUUUAAACUAUAUUCCCACAGUAUGGGGUUUAAUGGCAGGAUAAAAAAGUGGAUUUUGCAAGCCCUUAUGGCCACUAAGAGACUUAUACUUUGAGCCUGGAAUGAUAAACACCUGUCAUCUAUCACACAAUGGCCUGAGGAACUCAAUGCCUUGGAUACAUUUGAACAUAUUUCUUACAGAAAUCCACUGGCAAGAGUUUCUAUUGGGACAACCUUUAUGUUUAACCCAAGAUGGAUGCACUGAUUGUUAUCGCACCCUUAAUGCGAGCCGAUGGUGGUGUUAUUAUUAUUCUUUCUUUUUCUUCCAUUCAUUCUCUUUCCUGUUCAUUUUUAAUCCCUUUCCCCUUUUUCUUCCCCCUUUGUUAAAUUUGCAAAUAAUAAUAAAAAAAGAAAUUAAAAAAACCAAAACAGAAAGAAAAUGCAGAGGAUUUGGGCGUAUGUGCACACUAGAGUAGAGCUCAUUUAACUGCGGGCCUUUGACAAUAAAGUAAUUGAAAUUAUUUUAAUUCUUAUCAUUCGUGUCAUAGAGGGAGUCAAACGUGCUUUUUUCAUUAAAAUACGUGAAUGAUUAAAUGGACUAAUCUAU
rnacentral:lncRNA from 1 species